CCAGCAGGGCUGGGGCCCAACACCUCAGGGCUCAGUGAACAGAUCUGGACUGUGUUGAAGUGCGUGAGGAAGUCUUGAAGCUCCAUCCUGGAAGAUUCCCCGAAAUCUUCAGGCCUUGCCAAGGUCUCCAAGUCCUCACAAAUACCCCACCUCUGGGAAGAUUCACAAACGUCUCUCAAUAUGUUCAAAUGAAAUUCGAGAAAUUGAGAAAAACCCUCAAAUAGAGCUGGGAAGCUGUCCGAGCCGAUAAGAGCUGCAGCGUCCGUCCGAGCCCGACACCCUUAGCCCACAGUGGAAGGGGAGAACUGGCUCCGCUCACCCCGGGGCAUGCUUCAGGAGCAGACUCAAUAGAGAAAUAGAAAACUAGAAAAAUCGUUUCAAAUUACAUAUAUUUAAAGCCCCGAAUGUCACCAAGCCUCCCCCAGAUCACCCUAAAUGUGGUUCUGUUCCCAUUAAAGCUCCCAAAAUCACUGAC